rnacentral:lncRNA from 1 species
AGAACGUUUAAAGCUCCCAAAUCAUUGAAGGUUUCUUAAUUUCAGUGUUACAAAGCUCACAUGGAAUGCAUUAACAAUAAACCUUCGAUCACCUUUGUACCCUGAAAUGGUCAGGGUUUUCGCCUUUCCCCCACUUACUUUGCAAGGGAUGAAGUUCGGUUAUAGUUUUUUUAUUUUUUAUUACUCCAUGUAUUCCUAUUAAAGUUUGGUUGCAGUUCUUUUUUUCUAGAUCAAAACACUAGGCUGCUAGCUGCUUGUUUGUUUUAGUACCUUCUCCUUCUUCUAGCUAACUUGGGGCAACUGCAUGAUGCUUGAGGAAGAACUCUUGGCUGUAAAUAUACAAUAUCUAGUUCAGAAACCCCCAAUAUCCAUGAUAUAUGGAACAUUAUGCUAUACAAUCCCUGAACCGUGUAUUUUACUAGAAAAUCUAAUUUGGCUUGUUUGGUUAGUAGAAGAAACUGAGCAAGCAACUAGUUGCUCCAAACGAUCCACUGUGAUAAAAAGUUUGAGAUGUCAUGAAAGUCAGACUCCUGAUAAAUUUGAUGUUUUGCAUAGUAUUGACUUAUAGUGUAUAAUUUAUAUAUAGAAUUCGAUGUUUUGAGAUGCCAUGAAAGUUCUUGCUAGUGAGUAUGCAUAGAAUUAUUUUGAGAAGUUAAUUUUAUAGCUAGUGGUGACUCUUGUUUUAUUUGUCAUGCGAGCAGAAAACUUCCACAAAUGGAAGAAAAUGAAUUAUCAAACUCUAUGAAUGAUAAUGAAAAACCAUGCAAAGAUAUUGCAAUUGAAAUUCCAGAGGACUUGGAGACUACCUUUCGGCGAGAGGAAUGUAUCUACAAAGCUCCAGCUGCACUUUGCGAUUCAAACAGAGCUUCCUACACUCCUCGGGUAAUUUCUAUAGGUCCUUUUCACCAUGAUAGUGAAAGUGAAAAACUGAGGCCUAUGGAAAUUCAGAAACAAAGAUAUCUGAAAGAAUUUUGUAAGAGAUUGCGAGGGGAAACAAAGGAGCAAGUGCGAGAAUCUUUGAAUGUACUUUCGAGCACCAUUGAAGAUGAAAAAGAUAAAAUCAAACACUGUUAUGCAGAUAAUACCUUUCAUCAAUUUUCUAGAAAUCAGUUUGUGAAGAUGAUUCUGUUCGAUGCAGUGUUCAUCUUCGAGCUCUUCUUGAAGAAUGAAGAAGAUAUACGCGGUAACAAACGAUAUCAACAUGAUUUCAUCAUAGGCAAACCCUGGCUGAGAGCUGCGAUUCAACGGGACUUGAUAUUGCUUGAAAAUCAGCUUCCAUUCUUCAUUCUCGAGAAAUUAUAUAGCCUUGCCAUCGAGGAAACAAAUCCCGAUUAUCGUUCUUUUCUGGACCUUUCCUGCCGCUACUUUGAGAAGUACGGUAAGAACAAAACCAAGCCAGAUGAAACCAAGCCUUAUGAAGUGUUGCAUUUCACUGAUUUGGUAAGACAUUUUCUAUCCUUCAAGCACCCGCAGUUAGAAUCACCAGAUGGAAAGCAAAUUAAAAAUCUUUAUAGCGCAACCAUGCUGCACCAAGCAGGAAUUAAGUUCAAGGCAUUGUCGGAUCAUUUCACUGAUUUGGUAAGACAUUUUCUAUCCUUCAAGCACCCGCAGCUAGAAUCACCAGAUGGAAAGCAAAUUAAAAAUCUUUACAGCGCAACCAUGCUGCACCGAGCAGGAAUUAAGUUCAAGGCAUUGCCGGAUGCAUGCUUGCUUGACAUAAGAGCCUGGAAGGAAAAUGAGAAUCCAGUCAAGAAAGGUGAGUUACAUAUGCCACCACUUGAAAUCGACAACAGCACCGAAUGUCUCUUUCGAAACCUCAUGGCCUUGGAACAGUGUCGUUAUCCAACAGAAGAGUUUAUCUGCCGUUAUGUUAAGCUAUUGGAUUUUCUUGUGGACGAUAAAAAGGAUGUGGAUUUACUCAUUGAAAAUAAGGUUAUUGUUAGCAGGCUUGGUGACAGUAAAGCUGUGGCGGAGCUUAUUAACAAACUUUGCCUAGAAAUAGUAGAAGUUACUUCUGGUUAUGAUGCUCUCUCCCAACUUCUGAAUGAUUACUACGAGAGCUCUUGGAACAAAAACAAGGCAUACUUGGUUAGUGUGUAUUUCCACAAUGUUUGGAUUGGUACUGGAACUGUUAUUGGAUUAAUCAUCCUAGCCAUCACCGUGACGCGGUUUAUCCUAUUCUUUUUCCGCUAGUAUUCUAUGUUUUUGCUAUAAAGAAAAGGCUCGACCUCGACAUCUCUAUAAAAGAAGAAGACAUGGAUGCUAGUUGAGCUCCAAGCUUCUUGUUGGCUUUCCUCCAAAUAAAUUUGUAUCGCUCUGACUCACCGUGUCGCUCCUACUGUUGUGUAUGUGGCCGUGCCUGUAGAAUUUUAGUUUCCCUUGAAGUUAAUAAAUCUUGUCAUUCCUGUUGUAAGGUAACAACAACUAUUAUUGAACUUGAAGGUUUUCAUUAACAAGGAUAUUGUCAAUGUAUUGCGGUUUGCAUCAUUUCCACAUCUUUAUCGCCACUAAAUAAAACAUGUACGUAAAAUGUUUGCUCGUCUUUUUCUUCCUUUUCUUUUAGUUGCGUGGACAAAAACAAAAUGGUGCUAACCACCUGGCCUGAGAAAGAUGACAGAACCGGGUAGGAUCUGAAGUGGGGCAGCUAUACUUUAAUGCUAUACUUUAAUAAAGGUGUCAGUUUAGGUGAUCAAUCAAUGAAUUCUUAAAUAAAAUAUACGACAAAUUGCAAUGCACUUUCACAAGCUCUCGUUCGUUGGUUUCUUGAUUUUUUUUGUGUUAAAAAAGCAAACAGACCUCUAUGGGCUACAAUACAACACUGAACCUGAUGUUCGAGAAACACCGAGUUCAGUGGGCUCUCUGACACGUAAUAUUUCGAAACAUAUGAUCACGUUACUGCUUAUUGAGUUAGAUGAUCGGAACAUCUGUCAUCCGUUUCAGUCGAGUUUUUGAAUAAUUACAAGAGCUGAUAGAGUCAAGAUAUCAAAACUAUGUCAAGAUAUUUUACUAUCUGUCGUCCCCAAUUUUACAGAAUAUGCAUCCCAAAGGCACCGGAGAAAGUUCUUGUUCUUUACCUUUCAUGUUUCAUUCCCUUGCUUUUUAUGAAAAGUAGCCAGCUAAAAGUCGGACCACCUCACUUUAAGAAGAGGCCCUACUUCUUCCAUCUUCAAUGUCUUUACCCAUUUCAAGUCCUUAUCUACUCAGGCCUAUCUACUUAGGCCAUUAUUUUCAUGUGUUGCAGUGAAAAACGAAUGCAUGAUUGCAAUUUAACUUGCGGGGGUAAUUAAGAUUACAAUGUACAGACAACCUAUUCAUGGGUCCCGGGGUUCCAUGGUUUUCUUUAUCUGUAUUUAUUAGGAAGAAAAAUGACAGAACCUCGAAAGCCGAUAGAGAGGUUUUUUAGCCAAAAAUUAGAAUUUCAUCUUCACCCGAUUGACCGAUUGAUAUUGACUCAAACCAAUACGAAGUGUUAGGUUUUUAUAGAUAAUUAGCUUCUCAUGGAGAUAAUAUACAAAGUUAAUUUGUUCAUUUCAUUAAAUUUGAAAAGGUAAAUGGUAAUUUUCUAGAUUAUAGCAAGUAACUAUAAUUAAUUGAAAUGAUGGUGCUAAUUUUGGUUCACAAAAACAAAUGGAUAAUCUUGCAUAGAUCGAUAUUAGGGUGAACAAUAUUUUUUAAAAAAAUAUGAAUGAACCAAAUUAAUAUUUUGAAUUUUUUAUAAAAAAAUAAUUACCAAUUUUAAAAGAUGAAUAAAAUAUUUUUGUAAUUAUUAUUAUUAUUGUGGUUAUUAUUAUUAUUCAUAUAUUAAUAUCUCUUCAAAAAAUGUCAAAAGUAGAAACAUAUUUCCACCUAAGCCAGAAAAUAUGAAAAGAAGAAAAGAAAAGCUNNNNNNNNNNNNNNNNNNNNNNNNNNNNNNNNNNNNNNNNNNNNNNNNNNNNNNNNNNNNNNNNNNNNNNNNNNNNNNNNNNNNNNNNNNNNNNNNNNNNAAAGCAUGAUUUAUAAUCCCUUUAUUAGUGGUCAAAUGUUCUUAAUGUUGAAUCUUGUUUUUGUGUUUCAAAAAUGUAUUUUUUUAAAAAAAAAAAUUUAAUUUUUUUAUUUGUUUUAAAUUUAUUUAGAUUGUUUUGAUGUGUUAAUGUCAAAAAUAAUUUUUUAAAAAUAAAAAAUAUUAUUUUAAUAUAUUUAUAAAUAAAAAAUAUUUUUAAAAACCAAACAUUACUACACCACCAAACACCACAUUAACCAAUAUGUUAUAAAAAAUCUCAAGGGUCCAUUUCAUAGUAGUGGUAUGACACAGUUAGCAAAUUGUGUCUUUAAAUAAAAUAAAAAUAAAAAUAAAAAUAAAGUACCCAAUCCUAUCCCAGAUAGUGACUCUCCAGCUCCACCUUUAAAAUAAGCCAAGCUACCUCACCUAGUUUUCACCUAGUUUUAAAACUAUAAUAAUAACGUUUAUUCUUACGUUAACCUUGAUUAACCGGGGUUGACCCUCUAACUUUUGAUCUAGGUCUUGCCCUGGGUCAAUCAUUUAGUCGAGUUUUAAAAUUAUAAUAAUAACUAUUUUUAUCCUUAUAUUGACUUAAGUCAAUGAUUAAUCUAACAUAUGAUUGGCUGUAGGUCGACCCUCGAGUAGGGUUUUAAAAAUAUGAUACCAGCUAUCUUUUAUCCUUACGUUAAUGUGGGUCAAUGGUCAACCCGAGCCUGACCCCGAGUCAGGUUUUAAAAUUAUGAUAAUAAUUAUUUUUACCCUUACAUUAACCCGAGUCACUGAUCAACCCUACCCGAGACCGGAGCCUAGCCCCGGAUAGACCUCUAAGUAGAGUUUUGAAACUAUGAUAACAACUACUUUUGUUCUUAUGUUAACCCGGUUAAUGGUCAACCCGAUCCAUGACUCGGGCCUUGCCGUGACCUGGGUCGACCUUCUUGUCGGAUUUUAAAACUAUGAUAAUAAUCAUUUUUUAUCUUUACGUUGACCUGAAUCAACCAUGUUAUAAAUAUUAAGUGAAUAUAUAUAUAUAUAUAUAUAUAUAUAUAUAUAUAUAUAUAUAUAUAUAUAUAUAUAUAUAUAUAUAUAUAUAUAUAUAUAUAUAUAUAUAUAUAUAUAUAUAUAUAUUCCCUUUUAUUUUUAAUUUUUUUAAAAAUUCCUUUCAGAAAAACUAAAUUCAAUAAAGACAAAAAAAACCCCUAAGAUAACCCGUGCUAUUUUUAAAAUCACUAAAAAUCCCAUAGAAUCUCCGAUUAAGCAGAAGCCAAAUGAAAAAAGGGGUCUGGAUUGACUCGCUGAGUCGGUCUAAGUAAUUGAAACAAACUGCAUGUGUCGUCAGAGUAACAAUCUACAAAGCAAACAAAACAAAGUACUAUGAAACAAGCAUCUAAUGCUUAUAUUCAAUCAAUUAAUUUAAUUUAAUAAAAAGAUAAAAUUCCUUUUAAAAAUAACUAAAUUUAAUAAAGACUGAAAAAACAUGUGAUAAUCUGUGUCGUUUUUAAAAUCACUGAAAAUUAUCAUAAAUAACAAAAAAAAAAAAUGGGGCCCAAUCUCUUACUAAAUAAACACCAAAUGAAAAAGGGUCUGGAUCGACUCGUCAAGCCGGUCUGAGUUUUAGAACAAUGGAUCAUGUGAUCUUUAUAUAAAAAUGACCUUAAAAUAUAAUGAAAUUGAUAAAGUAUUAAGCUUUUAAAAAAACAAGUAAACCUUCUAAACUCGAGUUAAUCUCUCAAACUCGUAAUCCGCUAAAUUCUAGAUCUGAGUUCAAUUAAGAAGCUCAAUACCAAAUCAAUUUAACGUUGAGAGAUGAAAUAAAAAAAAGUGAACUUUAAAAGAUUUUCAAGUAAAAAAAAACCCAGGAAUGGGAGACAUAGAAUCACCAAGGCCUUUAUAUCCAAUAGUCGAAAACUAUGCAAAUAUAUUGUAAAUUGGAGUUGGUGACUACCUUUCGGCCUGGGGAAUGUAUCUAUAGAGUUCCUUCUACCAUUCGCGAUUUUAACGAAGCUGCCUAUACUCCUCAUGUGAUUUCCAUAGGGCCUAUUCUCCAGCAUGAUAACAAAGCAUUAAAAGCUGUGGAAGAUCAGAAAUGAAGAUUUAUGAAAGAUUUUUUCAGAGUGCGAAUUCAAAAGGAGAAAAGAAAAGAACAUUUGACAACACUUUUGAGCGCCAUUAAAGAUGAUGAUGCUGCCAUCCGACUUCGCUAUGUAGCUGAGAUCUCUGAGAUUUGCAGUGAGAAGUUUGUGAAGAUGAUUCUAUAUAUUCGAUGCUGUAUUCAUCUUCGAGCUCUUCUUGAGGAAUCAUGAACCUAGAAAUCGAUCAUUGUAAGAAUAGAAAAGGUUUAUGAAAAUGUUAUGGAAAAGACUUCAACGAGUGGUGAUCGAAGUCGGAAAUUUCUUAUUUUUCAAAUAGUAGGAAAAUUUUGGAGUUACAUUAAAAGUUAUGAAUCUCUAUCAUCAUCACCGUCUUCCUUUAUUAGUGGAGUGGUAAACAGAUUAUUAAUUCUAAAAUCUGAAUAUUAUGAUAUAUCUAGUGAUUUAUUUUAUAACAGUAGUGCGAUAUAAUCAACAAUUAUUUGCAUCAUUAAAUAAAAACACAAUUAUGGGCACCUCGAUGUGACAAAAAAUCUUCUCGUUUUUUUUUAAAAUCUUUUUUUUUAAAUCAAGCAGCCUUCACUUCCAAAUCAUAAAGACUUGCACUGAGGUAAAAUAGUCUUUUUCAAAUAAUCAAAAGCCAUUUAAGAAUUCAACAUGGGCAAUAAGAUCUUUAUACUUUUAUUUUGCACUAUGAAAUUAAUUCAUCACUCUUAAAAGUAAAAAAUUCUAAACCUUGGUUUAGGGACUUUAUUGUCUAUUUAGGUUUUUUUAAAUAGUAAAAUUAAUAAUUUAACACUAGUGCUAAAAAAACAACAUUCAUGGAAUUUUUAGUCCUUUUCUUAAUUUAAACUCAAUUAAAUUAUUUCAUUGCCCUUUAAAUUUUUAAAAAUCUUGCCCUUUAAUUUGCGGUUACUUUACUCUUUUACGUUUGGUUAUUUUGUUAUACUUGGUUUCAUUAGAGGCAAUAUUGUUAUUUGCUAAAUAAGAAAAUAAAAAAGAUUGAGGGCACGUGUAUAGUAACCACAACUUUCAAAUAAUAUGUUCGGCACCGUCCGGUGGUCGAAUGCAUGCUUCUGAGGCGGCGACCAAAGCAUCUUGGCAACCCUUGCAUGAUUAGUUGGCGUAUAUGGUCUAAUUGUUUUUGGCUUGACAUAUGUGACAUUUUUUUUUCUAUAAUUAUUUUUAUAUAACGAUAUAUCUAUAUCUAAUUAGUUUUGUUUAAAAUUAUGUCAUAUUCCGAGUGUGUCAACUUAAUGCAAAUACAAUUAUUGUUUUUAGACAUGCACAAGUAUUAAAAAUGCAGUGUUUAGUUCAACAAAUCCAACGGCCAACGAAUUUCAGUAUAAAAAAAACAAGAAAGAAAAUACAAAAUACAAUUAUGGCUGCAACUUUCCUGGACAUGAAAUUAGAGAAAGAUAAGUAGAAAUUGUAUAAUAAUGCUGGGCACAAACUCGGCUUGGUUUAUCGCUGUGUUUGAUAAUUUAUUAUGAUUUAUUUUUUAAAUUAAAAAUAUAUUAAAAUAAUUUUUAAUAUUAAAAAUAGAUCAAUUUAAUAUAUUUUUUUAGAUAAAAAAUAAAAUUAUUUUUGCUAGGAGAAAGUUACUAGCACUAAGAUUUGAAAUUUAGCCACUUGAAUUCUGGGUUUAUUUUUAUACACGGUGAAAAUUAUAAUUUAAAAAAACAUAAAAACAAUAUUUGUUUUAGCUUGAAAUACAAAUAAAUGCAUAGAAAAACAAGCAGCAGUACCGCAAUAAAUAUACCUGUGGUGGGAUUGUUGAACGAACCAUUAAAAGCCAACUACCAGUAAACCCAACCACAUACGGAUUUUUGUUUUAUCACCACAAUGAUAAAUACAAUUAGAUAUUUAUGAUUUCUUUUUGGCUAAACAGCUUAAACCUCUGGGAAUGUUAACCCAUUUAUUAUUUAAAAUCAGAUUCUUUUAUCAAAUAUUAUAUGUUCAUUCAUUAAAAAACUCUAACACGUGAAAGUCACUUGUAAAUUAAUCUAAACCCUUUAUUUAUUAUUUAUUUUUAGAUAUCUAUUUUAAGUGUACGGUGAAUGAAGUACCAAAAGUGAUUGAUUCAAGUAGUUUUGAGUUCGAGUCUUAUAAAUAUAGUAUAUUAUUGUUGGGAAAGCUUCAUCUUUUAAUGGAUCAACCUUACUCAAUGAAAUUAACUGGGUCUAGUGGACUUUCAGAUUUUAGGAUUUAAAUAAAAAUAUAUACAUGAUAAUACAAUGAUUUUUCUAAUUUAUUUCUCACUAUCUAAUUUUUUUUUGAAAAAAACAGCAACGGAAAACGCCAGUAAUUUCAGAACUAGCCACCGAAACAUCAUUAAAUCAGAUUUCAUUAAAUCGGGCAUCAAUUGGCAUUGCAAUCAUCCAACUAAAAAACGCCAAUAAUUUAUUUCAUUUGUCCCUCUCGGUCAUGGUCAUGGCAACCCCCUGUAGCAUAGUCAAAAGGUCGCUUUUUUAUGCUCCACAAGAACACCUUCAUCCUUUUCCUUUUCUUUCUACCCUCCCUGUCUAACCUCUUCCUUUCCUUCAUUUUUUUUUCUUGGGACGAGUGCCCAGCUGGACCCAUACAAGUGUGACUAAAGGAAAGAGCUGUCCAUGAAUUAUUAGUGAAGUGAAAUGCAUGUUUUUCGAACCAAGCCCCACUGAGCUCGAGAUAUUUAGUCUGCUGGUCGCUGUUUUGAGUCCACUUCAUUAUCAGUACAAAUAAGAUUCAAUUUUUAUUGUCUAGCAGCCACAAUUUUAGUUUUGUUGUGAAAAAUCGUGGUCUCUCAAGUUUUUAUUCAUUCAAAUUUGGUCAUCAAUCUUCACUUUUUUUUAACUUCACCAUCAAAAGUUAUAAUAUUUUUGUCCUACAUGUUAUCACGCAUCCGAGCAAUAAGAGAUUGUUUCGGGGUUAAAUGAUAGGUCAAUUUUACAUCAUAUAAUUCUUAGUUAUUGUUAAAAAUAAUAUUAAAAAAACAAGGAUUAAAAUUGAUAUCGAUAAAAAUCAACUACCUUUCCCAUCAAUACUGUUCAAUACAUGCAUAAAUUUACAUUUUAAUUAUUUAUACUUGGUCCGUUCUAUUUUUGGAUUUUUUGUUUAGCUUCCAAACUUUAUUUUUUUAUGUUUCAAUCCUUAUAUCUCGAGAUAGGAGAGAGAAGCUCUUGAGGUUGGAUUCCGAACACUAAUAUUUUUGAUUUUGGUGUUUAUGAAUUCAACUUUGAUAGAUGAGCUCAAUAAAGGUGGUCUUCACCUUCAGUAACAACGAAAAAAGUAGAUUCGAUCUUAAUUUUUUUUUAUUUGAUCUAAUUUUGAGUUUUUAGAUCAAUUAGAAUGCUUUUAUUUUAUUUUUUGGAUGAAAAAAGUUUGAAAUCUUGAUUUUUAAGGUAAAAAAACCUUGGACAUUGAUCUUUUGUUAAUCAAAGACACCUCAAACGAUGGAAAAAAAUGGAAAAUAAGUGACGAUCAUUUAUCUAUUUUAAAAAGACAAUAAAGGGUAAACAAUAAAAAAAAAUCUUUUAACCUUUAAAAAUUAAAAUUAAAAACCCGGUGUACGAGCUUGGACUUUUAGGCCCAGGCAUGCUUGGAUUUUAACAUGGGCUAGAUGAUGGACCUAUUUCCCCACCCCAUAUGAGCAUGACCCUUCAUUUGUUUUUAAUUUUAUUGUUUUUUCUUUGAAUUUUAUAAUUAAAUUCUUUUUAAAUAAACUUAUUUAUAUAAUAUUUAAAUAAUUGUCCAAUUAUGCCAUUGUUUUCAAAGAAUAUUAGCUUAUUUUAUGAUAAUAUCAACAAUUGGUUUUUGAAUAAUUAUAUAUGAACUUAAUAUGCAUAUUUUUUAAAAAAAUUUAGAUGAAAUAUCUAUUUUUUUUUAUAAUUUUUAUGCAAUCUUUUCAAGUUUAUUAUUCUUAUAUUUUCGUAAUACAUUUGUGUCAAAACCACCACUUUAUAAUUGUUUUAAUAAAAAAUUACUUUUAAGAGUAUGAUAAGUUUUUAUUAAAAAUAACUAUUUCUGAUUAAAGAAAUUGUAAAAAAGAAUGCAUCAAUAAGGGAAAUGAUCAGUUUUGAUUAAAUAUAUAUAUAUUUUUAUAUUUAUUUCAAAUCGUUAUAAUUUUUUUUAUAUUGAUUUUAAUUGCUCUUAGUUUUUAUACAAUAAACAACAUGACUAGAAAAAACAUAUAUAUUUUUAAUAAAUUAAUACUAGAAAGAGGAUUUAUACUAAUAAUUAUAUUUUCCUAUGAAAUUUAAAUUAUUACUUUUUCUUUACAAAAAUCCAUUUUUUUCAUAUAAUUAAAUAUUUUUUUUAAAGAUAUGAGAUCAAAUAUCUUUAUAGGCAUCAAUCUUUUAAUUUUUCGCUUUAGUUUUUAGUUAGUAGUAACAACUUUUUUUUAUGUUUUAUUGGUUCAUAUAUUUUUCAAUUUAUUUUAUUAAACUUAAGCAUUAACUUACCAAAAUAAUAUCAUUUUAGUUUUUUUAAAUUUUUUCUAAAACAAUAUUGUUUAGGAUAAAAACUAAAUAAAAACAUAAUAAAUCAGGGCCAACUUUGUCAUCUAAAGGGUGACCCACUCAAUUCAUAACCUAAAUCUUAAAUCUUAUAAUUAUGGUAAUAAAUCAUCAUGGUCUAAAUUGACCACAAAAAAUUAUUCUUAUUUUUUUGAACAACUUGAACAUUAAAAAUUGACCACAAAAGAUUUGCAGGGAUAAUUAUGGCCGAUAAAAAAAGGCUAAGUGCAAGAAAAGGUCUAUGUUGCAUAGAAUGACUAACUUAAUAAAAUGUCUCUUAACUUUCAAUCCAAACGUUAAAUUAUGCUUGAAUUUUACAAAUAGGUUCCAAAAACUAGGUUUAUAGGGGCUAGCUUGGUGUAACUGGUGUAGAUUCAGAAGGAUUCCAAAUUAGACUUGUAAGGUUUUGUUUGGGUUAGAGAAACAAACUGUUUUUAAAAAAAUAAAUUUUAAUUUUUUUUUUUUAUGUUUAUGAUAUUCGGUGAAAUUCUUGUUAUUUCAUUUGUACUUCUUAUUUUUAUUUUUACAGUAACCCUAUUCAACAAAAUCGUAUCAAUGGUGCGUGAAUUGAUACCAGCGUUGCGUCACCAUGGAUGCGUCACCGGGGGUCAACCCGCUGUACCCCCAAGGUCUGAUAGCUGUAUAAAAGAGUGCUAUUACCUUACUGAAGAGCAUCACAAAACACACAGAGAGAGAGAGAGAGACUGCGUUCAACGUAUCAGUAUAGCUUCGAGGAAAUCUAGAGCCUCCUGCUUCUCAGGUUAAGGUACUUGGGUUCUUCAUGCACUGGUUUUUUCUCCUGUUCAUACUCCCUUGUUUCAUUAAUUAUUUUUGUUCCAACAACUGAGAACGUUUAAAGCUCCCAAAUUAUUAAUUUCAGUGUUACAAAGCUCACAUGGUAUGCAUUACCAAUAAACCUUCGAUCACCUUUGUACCCUGAAAUGGUCAGGGUUUUCGCCUUUCCCCCACUUACUUUCCAAGGGAUGAAGUUCGGUUAUAGUUUUUUUAUUUUUUAUUACUCCAUGUAUUCCUAUUAAAGUUUGGUUGCAGUUCUUUUUUUCUAGAUCAAAACACUAGGCUGCUAGCUGCUUGUUUGUUUUAGUACCUUCUCCUUCUUCUAGCUAACUUGGGGCAACUGCAUGAUGCUUGAGGAAGAACUCUUGGCUGUACAUAUACAAUAUCUAGGUUCAGAAACCUCCAAUAUCCAUGAUAUAUGGAACAUUAUGCUAAAACCCUGAACCGUGUAUUUUACUAGAAAAUCUAAUUUGGCUUGUUUGGUUAGUAGAAGAAACCGAGCAAGCAACUAGUUGCUCCAAACGAACCACCGCGAUAAAAAGUUUGAGAUGUCAUGAAAGCCAGACUCCUGAUAAAUUUGAUGUUCUGCAUAGUAUUGACUUAUAGACCGGAGUAUAAUUUAUAUAUAGAAUUCGAUGUUUUGAGAUGCCAUGAAAGUUUUUGCUAGUGAGUAUGCAUAGAAUUAUUUUGAGAAGUUAAUUUUAUAGCUAGUGGUGACUCUUGUUUUAUUUGUCAUGCGAGCAGAAAACUUCCACAAAUGGAAGAAAAUGAAUUAUCAAACUCUAUGAAUCAUAAUGAAAAACCAUGCAAAGAUAUUGCAAUUGAAAUUCCAGAGGACUUAAUUCCAAAGGACUUGGAGACUACCUUUCGGCCAGAGGAAUGUAUCUACAAAGCUCCAGCUGCACUUUGCGAUUCAAACAGAGCUUGCUACACUCCUCGGGUAAUUUCUAUAGGUCCUUUUCAC